rnacentral:rRNA from 1 species
UACGUAGGGUGCAAGCGUUGUCCGGAAUUAUUGGGCGUAAAGAGCUCGUAGGCGGUUUGUCGCGUCUGCUGUGAAAACUCGGGGCUUAACCCCGGGCCUGCAGUGGGUACGGGCAGACUAGAGUGCGGUAGGGGAGACUGGAGUUCCUGGUGUAGCGGUGAAAUGCGCAGAUAUCAGGAGGAACACCGGUGGCGAAGGCGGUUCUCUGGGCCUUACCUGACGCUGAGGAGCGAAAGCGUGGGGAGCGAACAGG